rnacentral:rRNA from 1 species
UACGAAGGGGGCUAGCGUUGCUCGGAAUCACUGGGCGUAAAGCGCACGUAGGCGGCCUCUUAAGUCGGUGGUGAAAUCCUGGAGCUCAACUCCAGAACUGCCUUCGAUACUGGGAGUCUCGAGUCCAGGAGAGGUGAGUGGAACUGCGAGUGUAGAGGUGAAAUUCGUAGAUAUUCGCAAGAACACCAGUGGCGAAGGCGGCUCACUGGCCCGGUACUGACGCUGAGGUGCGAAAGCGUGGGGAGCAAACAGG